rnacentral:rRNA from 1 species
CCUACGGGAGGCAGCCGUGGGGAAUAUUUGGCAAUGGAGGCAACUCUGACCCAGCAACGCCGCGUGAUUGAUGAAGGUCUUCGGAUUGUAAAACUCUUUAAGUGGGUACGCAGCAAGUGACUGUACCCACAGAAUAAGCCUCUGCUAACUACGUGCCAGCAGCCGCGGUAAUACGUAGGAGGCAAGCGUUAUCCGGAAUGACUGGGCGUACAGGGUGCGUAGGUGGUUUGGCAAGUUAGUAGCGUAAUUCCGGGGCUCAACUUCGGAACUACUACUAAAACUGCUGGGCUUGAGUGCAGGAGGGGCAUAUGGAAUGCCUAGUGGAGCGGUGGAAUGCGUAGAUAUUAGGAGGAACACCAGUGGCGAAGGCGAUAGGCUGGACUGUAACUGACACUGAGGCACGAAAGCGUGGGGAGCAAACAGGAUUAGAUACCCUGGUAGUC